AUCUAGCUGAUGAGUUCCAAAACAGGAUGAAACACGUGUGUCUGGAU
rnacentral:hammerhead_ribozyme from 1 species